rnacentral:rRNA from 1 species
UACAGAGGGUGCAAGCGUUAAUCGGAAUUACUGGGCGUAAAGCGCGCGUAGGGGGUUUGUUAAGUUGGAUGUGAAAGCCCUGGGCUCAACCUGGGAACUGCAUCCAAAACUGGCAGGCUAGAGUACGGUAGAGGGUGGUGGAAUUUCCUGUGUAGCGGUGAAAUGCGUAGAUAUAGGAAGGAACACCAGUGGCGAAGGCGACCACCUGGACUGAUACUGACACUGAGGUGCGAAAGCGUGGGGAGCAAACAGG